AGCGAACGCUGGCGGCAGGCCUAACACAUGCAAGUCGAACGAAGUCUUCGGACUUAGUGGCGGGCGGGGGAGUAACACGUGGGAACGUGCCUUUAGGUUCGGAAUAACUCAGGGAAACUUGUGCUUAUACCGAAUGUGCCCUUCGGGGGAAAGAUUUAUCGCCUUUAGAGCGGCCCGCGUCUGAUUAGCUAGUUGGUGAGGUAAAGGCUCACCAAGGCUACGAUCAGUAGCUGGUCUGAGAGGAUGACCAGCCACAUUGGGACUGAGACACGGCCCAAACUCCUACGGGAGGCAGCAGUGGGGAAUCUUGCGCAAUGGGCGAAAGCCUGACGCAGCCAUGCCGCGUGGAUGAUGAAGGUCUUAGGAUUGUAAAAUCCUUUCACCGGUGAAGAUAAUGACUGUAGCCGGAGAAGAAGCCCCGGCUAACUUCGUGCCAGCCGCCGCAGUAAUAC
rnacentral:rRNA from 1 species